rnacentral:lncRNA from 1 species
GUCACAGGCUUCAGUCUGAAGGUCUCACCUGGGCUGAUAUCCUUCCAUAGAACCAGAAACUGGGAAUCGUCCUCAAACUGGACCAGACACACCUCUCGAGCACUGUCCACCUGGAAUGGGUGCCCAGUGAUGCUAAAAUGGGAAUGAGAACUGACUGGAGACUGGGAAGGCAGUGAGAUCAGAGGCUCAGAGGUUCAGUCCAUUGUUAUCAACGUGGGAGCAUGGCAGCAUCUAGGCAGGCGUGGUACAGGAGGAGCUGAGAGCUAGCUCUACAUCUUCAUCUGAAGGCUGCUAGCAGAAUACUGACUUCCAGGCAACUACAACCAAGGGGAGAGGUCCCAGGAGCGCCCACUGUUAGGCUGGAGUUACAUAGGAAAGAACAGAGAGCAGCCACCACUGUACGGCCUGCACCAUCCUACAAGAUCUGAAAGUGCGGAGUCCUCAGAGCUGUCAGAGGAUGUGGGGCUUAUGACAACACCUGGGAGGAGAGAUGGAGAAGGCUUUUAUGGAGUCCCAGUGAGUCUCUUUCAGUGAACCUGGAGCUUGCCAGUUUGUCUAGACUGGCUUUGCCAGUGAACCCCAGGACCCUCUCGUCUCUGCUUCCCCAUUGGUGGAAUCCCAGGCAUACUGCUACAUCCAGCUUUUCGCUAUACACGCAUGCUGGGAUAGAACUCAGUUCCUCACAUUUGCAAGGUGUGUGAGCCAUGGAGGAGAAGGAUGCAAGGAGCCAAGGAAGUGUGAAGGCCCCCUUAUAUCCUCAUCAUCGCCACAGACAGGGACCACCCAGGCUUCAGACUUGGGAGGGCUCCCAGUACGACGAGUGGCACGUUCAGGCGUGAAGUCAGACUGCUGAUACUGUGAGGCAGCAGGAGCUGAUAGAAGAACAACCCCCUCCCACAUCCACCCCCAAGAAAGCAAGGAAGUAGUGGGCAGGGGCCGCAUGGAUCCAGGGUGGGCAGAAACGGCAAAUGGGCUUGUAGAUCUGACUAUAUAAUUUUAGCAACUUUUGAUGGCUCCCUUCCCACACCAGAUUCCACCAUUCUUCCUGACUGGUCCCUACUUAUCACCCUAUUUGUGUGUCCACAGUAAGGCAACCAGGGUUGGUUCCUAUAAAUCUGGGCUUCCUCACA